UCGCAUCCGCCAAACGGUCAAGCCGUGACGCGGAAGGUUAACUAACCCAGCUUUAACCAGCUAAAGCUCCCUGAAGGGGAGUGAAAGUCAGCG
rfam:Rhodoferax fermentans strain JCM 7819 contig02, whole genome shotgun sequence.